UAGGUUACUGGCAGGGAUGGACUGGCCCAAAAAUUUGGCCCGGGACUUUGGGAUGGAGAGGCCUUUUAUGAGACCGCGGGAAUAUCGCGCGUAGAAUUUUGCCACGGUGUAAAAUAAUAAAAACUAGUCCUUAUCCGUGGAUAUGUGCAUUGCAACGGCAUGUCAAUGUUGGGAUGUGCAUGUGUUUAGAAUAUUGUGAAGAUCACUGGGAAAUAUUUUAUAAGCAAUCU